rnacentral:rRNA from 1 species
UACGUAGGGGGCAAGCGUUGUUCGGAAUUACUGGGCGUAAAGGGCGUGUAGGCGGUGCGGUAUGUUGGACGUGAAAUCCCCGGGCUCAACUCGGGGCGGUCGUUCAAAACUGCCGUGCUAGAGUGUGGGAGAGGGAAGUGGAAUUCCCGGUGUAGCGGUGAAAUGCGUAGAUAUCGGGAAGAACACCUGUGGCGAAGGCGGCUUCCUGGCCCACAACUGACGCUGAGGCGCGAAAGCUAGGGGAGCAAACAGG